GGCGCUAUAGCCAAGUGGUUACGGCGACAGAUUAGAAUUGAACCUAAUUCAAGUGGUAUCUGUUCCUCUUUGAGGGCAGGAGUUCGAAUCUCCUUGGCGUCG